AGCAAUGUGAUGUUGAACUGCGUCAGGGGCUCCAGAACUUCUGGUACAGUUAUACUUCCGAAGAAUUUGGCCCCAAACCAAUUUUUCUCAGAUUUCCAGGUAACUUACUCUGCAUGGGGUCCUGAACUUGCUGUGAAUUAACCCUUCACUCACUGCCUGCCGCAUUUUGGUGAUCACAUUUUGUUCUCUGCCACUUCCUGCUUGAGAGUAUGAUCUACAGCCAGCUAGACCAUAUCUGGAUGAAGCUUGAGAUAUAACCACAGGUUCAGAACACCCUGUUAUAAAGGAGCUGAACAUCCUUGGAGCAACACAUGACAUCUAGAACUCUACAUGGUCCAAGGUCUGUCUCACAAGGAGGACUGUGUAAUUAAAGCUAACUACAAACUAAGCUGAUUCUACUGUCAGAUUUGGUCCAAACCUACUUUUCUUUUAACAACCUGGUAACCAAGUGCCAUACAAGAUACACUGAACUCAAAUCUACAGAGACUAUCAAUCCUUGAACAGCAAGUUCAGAGCAGUUGAAUAUGACAAUAGCUUUAAUGCUAUCAAUGAGAACAAGAAUAUUUGGCUUAUCUUCAACAUCUUCAUACCAUCAGAUAACUCCAAAGUUAACACAGGAUACGUCAUCCACAUUGCUGCCAGAGCAUUCUCUCUGAAAUGAUUAUCUGAUCAUCAUCCUCUCUUCUUCUCCACAAGCUCAAA